rnacentral:rRNA from 1 species
GGGAACUUUGAUGAUGGUUGGCGUCUUGCCUGUGAUGGGUGGGGUUGAGGGCAUGCUGUUGGGUUGUUUGCCUUUAUGUGUGGUGGCCUGUGCGGUGCUGUGUUGCGUGCGUGUGUGCGUUGUGUGUUGUUCGUGUGGUGGUUGAUAACUGUAUAAUGCAUGCAACUAUAUUUAUUGUUGUAUGUGUUUGUGCGACUUGGUGUUGUGCAAAGUUAUCUAGUUCGAUCGGUGGAUUCCUAGCCACAAAUAACCAAUGAAGGAAUUUACUACC